GGACAUUAUAAGAAAUAAUAGUACAGAGAGAGAGUGAGUAACAAUGUAAAUAUUUGAGAGGGGUGGACUGUAAAUAAAUAAUGUGGAUGUUGGUUAUUUUCAGAUUUCUACGGUUUCUUGCAUUCUUGCAGAUAUCAAUAUUUUAUGUUAUAAUAUGGGUUGAGUUAUAAACUGAUCAUCCACAACAUUGAAACCAUCUGUCUAGUAUCGUGUAGGUUCCCC